AAUUUUCUCUUUGAAUAAAAUUACUGAGUAGUAGAUUCUUCCCACUACUCUCCACACUUUUCUCCAAAAAACUUUUGACAUAAGAUGUUGAACUUCAUAAAAACAAAUCACAUGAAUAGGUUCAUGGACAAAACCUAUUAAAAUGGAUGAAGAUUAUUGCUCAUGCUCAAACCUUGGUCAUUCUUACCUCCUGGUGCACAUAAAAAUGAAAGCAUAUAAUAUCAGAAAAUACACAUUUACUUGUAGACUACACUCCAACAACUUUUGUCCAAACAAUCAUACAAAGAAAGCGGCACGAUCCACUCACUUAAGCCAAAUUUGAUUAUGACUUACCAAGGUCCCCAUUUGGCAUGGCGUUGAAGAGCUAAAAAGCACUUCUUAGAUGGACA
rnacentral:lncRNA from 1 species